rnacentral:lncRNA from 1 species
GACCAGUAUGCGGUCUGUGUGUGCAGUUUUGGUUUACUUCAAUACAAGUGUCCACUUAGUUGUGUUAUAGAAUAGAUAACACUUGUCACUUGUAAGCGAAAUCUUACUGUUUAGCAAGACUUCUCUUUUUACACACAUCACUCCAGUACAAUGUGUCUGAAAAUGUAGUUCCUGGGCCUGUAGCAUCAACAGGCCCUGGGAAUCCAUUAGAAAAGCAAAUAUUCUACUAUAUCCCAGAUCUGCUGAAUCAGAAAUUCUGGGGCUGGAACCCAGCCAGACAACUGUGUUUUAACAAGCCUUCUAAAUAAUUCUGAUGGCUUCUAAAGGUUUGAGGUCCAAUACCAUAGGCCCUGGGCUUCCCAGGUGACUCAGUGGUAAAGAAUCCACCUGCCAGUGUGAAGAUGCAGAGAUGAGGGCCCAGUGCCUGGGCCAGGAAGAUCCCUUGAAGUAGAAAAGGGCAACCCACUCCUGUAUUCUUGCCUGGAAAAUCCCAUGGACAGAGGAGCCUGGUGGGCUACUGUUCACGGAGUCACAAAGAGUCAGACACCCCCAAGAGACUGAGAACGCGUACUCACACACCAUAGGACUUAACUUCUCCAAUGAGCAGACAAAUCUGCUUCUAUGAAUAGCUCACGUACCUCCAAAGAGGGUAGAAAUGGAAUGAAUCAGGGAGAACAGAAGAAAGAAUCAAUUCCACUUUUACCUUAAAAAUAAUAAAAAAAAAACCCUGUGGUUUCAAUAAUUUAUCAAUUUUUCAAUAAUUUUUUUAGUCCUUCUCCAAAACAUUUCACCAGCACCUAGAUUUUCACUUUUAAUUGGGAUAUCACCAUUGCUUGGAAAGAUAGACUUUGGUGGUGGCCAAGGAGAUUGCCAUAAAGGCAGCUUCACUACAACCAGGGAAGAACCCAUUAUAAAGGUUGUGUUAAUUCUGGGAUCAGAUCACUAUAUCCUGAUCAGGCAUCUGGAAAAUGGGGAUGACUGACUCUCUCUUCAGUCAUUCAAGGAUACCACUCACUUAAUCUGCCUUGGGCUUUAGUUUGAGAAGCUGGCUUUGUAGCAGCAGCUUCCAGCUACCAUGGUAAGUUCCAAACUGUUUCUGCUUUUAAUUUU